UACGGAGGAUGCGAGCGUUAUCCGGAUUUAUUAGGUUUAAAGGGUGCGCAGGCGGGUUUUUAAGUCUGUGGUGAAAGUUUGCAGCUCAACUGUAAAAUUGCCAUGGAUACUGAGGACCUUGAAUGUGGUAGAGGUAGGCGGAAUGUGUAGUGUAGCGGUGAAAUGCUUAGAUAUUACACAGAACACCAAUUGCGAAGGCAGCUUACUAUGCCAUGAUUGACGCUGAGGCACGAAAGCGUGGGGAGCGAACAGG
rnacentral:rRNA from 1 species